ACUAAGUUGCCCAGGCUGGCCUCAAACUUACGAUGCUCCUGCCUUGGCCUCCCGAACCGCUGGAAUGGAAUUACAGGCGUGCACCACUGCCAUGGCCAGGACAGUUGUUUUCAAUAUCUGAAAGGCUGUGUUGUAGAGUUGGGAUCAAACUAUUUGGCUCUACCCCAGUGAGUGGGAUUGGGACCUUUGAUGGAAGCAUCUGGAAGGUGCUGAGGAUCGAACCCAGGGUCUCACAUGUGCGAGGCGAGUGCUCUGCCGCUGAGCCACAACCCCAGCCCCUCACCCAACUUUUUGAUUCUCGGAUUCUGUGUGUGUUGUGAGUUCCAUUCUGCACCAUGGAAGACCAGGACACCAAGACCUGCAGCGAGUUUCACGUGCCACACAGCUCACUCUCUCUGAGCCUCAGAGCUACCUGCUUUCCUUUAUUUUUCAAGUCUUCUGUUCCUUUCAGGAAGGAAAAAAAAAGAACAACAACAAUAAAACCCAAAUUGUGUCUGCCACGCCACCCAGACCCAGUUAGCAUGUUUGGACAGGAUAUGCAGUUACCCAAUAUUGUCUGAAAGAUGUGUUUUCCUGACUCUGGACAAAUUGGAGCAGACUUUCCCUUUGAUGUGCAAUCUUCUGUCGCAACACACCACUAAACCAGUCAGGGUCACUCCAGGUGAACUGGGCUGGCACGAAAUCAUCACAUAGAGACAGAGGAAGACCUUUUUCUUUGGGUUCUGUGACAGCUCUGCUGACCGAGCGGCCACAAAGGAGGCAAGAGAGAGAGAGAGAGAGAGAGAGCAGGCCUUGAACCCGGGCUUUUAUUGGCUGUUCCAUGGAAUAUUCUAUCCCCCAAAGGGCAAAGGGGUAGGAUUACAAAGGAACAGGGAAGUGUUUGACAGGGCACCUUCUGUUUGCCUCCUGGUGCUGACACGUUUGGAUCAUGUCAGUGGCUCACUGGCCUCUGGCGUCCGGUUGGGUUAGGCCGAUGGACAGCUUCAUCAGGAAGGCAAAAGGAGGAAGGAUGACUGACACUGACCAGAGAUUAACCUAACAAAAGAGGUGAAGAAUGUGUACAAUGACAACUACAAAACACUAAAGAAAGAAAUUAAAGAAGACCUAAGAAGAUGGAAAGACCUCCCAUGUUCUUAGAUAGGUAGAAUUAAUAUUGUCAAAAUGGCCAUACUUCCAAAAGCACUAUACGAAUUCAAUGCAAUUCCCAUCAAAAUUUCAAUGUAGAAAUUGCAUUUCUCUAAUUCCAAUUAGAGAAAUGCAAAAAGAAAUAGAGAAAGCUGUCAUGAAAUUCAUUUGAGAAAAUGACAGGCCCAGAAUAGUCAAAUAAUCCUUAGAGGAAAAACAAAAAAAGAAGCUGUAGGUAUCACAAUACCAGACCUUAAAUUAUACUGCCGCAGUCAGGCUGCAGCAAAAUAACCGGGGGUGACGAACAACUUGUGUACAUUGAUACAGCAGGAGUGGGAGCCGUUUAUUGUAGGACAGGAGGGGUAUAUAUACAUUCCACACAGCUUAUCUAAUUAACAUAAACUAGAUACAGGAGUCAACCAAUAAGGAAUCUCCACACUUAAUGGCUCGCUGGAGUUACUUCACAAACCACUCCCUCUCGCAAAAUGCCAGGCGCCAUCUUGACUCGUUUACAGACUCUAACAUUAUACUACAGAGCUAUAGUAACAAAGGCGGCAUUGUAUUGGCAUGAAAAUAGACUUGUAGACCAAUGGUACAGAACAGAGGACACAGAGACAAACCCACAUAAAUACGGUAAUCUCAUAUUAGACAAAGGACCAAAACUUUACACUGGAGAAAAGAUAGCUUCUUCAACAAGGUGCUGGGAAAAAAUGGAAAUCCAUAUGUAAUAGAAUGAAAGUUAACCCCUAUCUCUCACCUUGCACAAAAAUCAAUGUGAAGUGGAUCAAAGACCUAGAAAUUAGACCAGAAAUCCUGCACAUACUAGAAGAAAAUGUACACUCAACACUUCAACAUAGUGGAUCAGGAACUGACUUCCUUAACAAGACUUCUAAGGAGCAAGAAAUAAAAUCAAGAAUCAAUAAAUGGGGUGCAUUUAACUAAACAGCUUCUUCACAGCAAAGGAAACAAUCAAGAGUGUGAAGAGAGAGCCCAAAGAAUGGGAGAAAAAUUUUUGUCACCUGUACCUUAGGUGGGGCAUUAAUUUCCAGGAUAUACAAAGAAUUCAAGAAACUCAACACCAAAAAACCUCCAAUAACCCAAUCAAUAAGUGGACGAAGGAUCUGAAUAGACCCUUCUAAAAAGGAAAAAAAUAUGAAUCGAUAACAAAUAUAUGAAAACAUGUUCAACAUCUCUAGCAAUUAGAGAAAUGCAAAAUAAAACUACACUGAGAUUUCAUCUCGUUCUAGUCAGAAUGGUAACUACCAAUACAAGCAACAAUAAAUAUUGGCAAGGAAGUGGAGGGAAAAGGUAUGAUCAUACAUUGUUGGUGGGACUGCAGAUUGGUGCAAUCACUCUGGAAAGCAAUAUGGAGAGCCCUCAAAAAACUCAGAAUGGAGCCAUCAAUUUGAUCCAGUUAUCCCACUCUUCAGCAUGUAGCCAAAGAAUUUAAAAAUCAGCACACUAUAGUGAUGCAGCCACAUCAAUGUUUAUAGCAGCACAAUUCACAAUAGCUAAGCUAUGGAGGCAACCUAGGUGCCCUUCAACAGACGAAUGGAUAAAGAUAAUGCAGUACAUAUACACAGUGGAAUAUUACCCAGCCAUAAAGAAGAACGACUUUAUGGCAUUUGCCAGUAAAUGAAUGGAACAUGCUAAAUAAAUAAGCCAAUCCCAAAUAAUCAAAGGUUGAAUGUUUUUGUUGAUAUGUGGAAGCUACAAUAAAGGAAAGAAGGAGAA